rnacentral:pre_miRNA from 1 species
UACCUUUUGUUCUAGUCAAAGUUUUAAAAUUUUGACCAACUUUAUAGAAAAGAAUAGUAGCAUGUAUGACAUCUAAUUGAUAUAUUAUGGAAGUACAUUUCAAAACGAAUCUAGCGAUACUAAUUUAGUGCCAUAAAUGCUGCUACUUUUUUCUAUAAAGUUGGUCAAAGUUUUAAAACUUUGACUUAGGACAAAACCUAG